GACGAACGCUGGCGGCGUGCCUAAUACAUGCAAGUUGAGCGCUGAAGGUUGGUACUUGUACCAACUGGAUGAGCAGCGAACGGGUGAGUAACGCGUGGGGAAUCUGCCUUUGAGCGGGGGACAACAUUUGGAAACGAAUGCUAAUACCGCAUAGAAACUUUAAACACAAGUUUUAAGUUUGAAAGAUGCAAUUGCAUCACUCAAAGAUGAUCCCGCGUUGUAUUAGCUAGUUUGUGAGGUAAAGGCUCACCAAGGCGAUGAUACAUAGCCGACCUGAGAGGGUGAUCGGCCACAUUGGGACUGAGACACGGCCCAAACUCCUACGGGAGGCAGCAGUAGGGAAUCUUCGGCAAUGGACGAAAGUCUGACCGAGCAACGCCGCGUGAGUGAAGAAGGUUUUCGGAUCGUAAAACUCUGUUGGUAGAGAAGAACGUUGGUGAGAGUGGAAAGCUCAUCAAGUGACGGUAACUACCCAGAAAGGGACGGCUAACUACGUG
rnacentral:rRNA from 1 species